AUUGAACGCUGGCGGCAGGCUUAACACAUGCAAGUCGAACGAGUGGCGGACGGGUGAGUAAUGCUUGGGAAUCUCGCUUAUGGAGGGGGAUAACUAUGGGAAACUGUAGCUAAUACCGCGUACCCUAGGAUGAGCCCAAGUGGGAUUAGGUAGUUGGUGAGGUAACGACUCACCAAGCCGCCGAUCUCUAGCUGGUCUGAGAGGAUGACCAGCAACAGGGGAACUGAGACACGGCACAGACGCCUACGGGAGGCAGCAGUGGGGAAUAUUGCGCAAGGGGGGGAACCUGACGGAGCCAUGCCGCGUGAAUGAAGAAGGCCUUCGGGUGGUAAGGUACUUUCGGUAGGGAGGCGUUGACUACAGGAGAAGCAACGGCUAAGACCGGGCCAGCAGCCGCGGUAAUAC
rnacentral:rRNA from 1 species